rnacentral:misc_RNA from 1 species
UUGAAAAAACUGGCGUUGGCUGAGCUGGCCUUCUCGGAGGCAUGUGCACGGUCCGCCAUUGUUUCAUCCUUCUCUUCCACCUGUGCACUUCUGUGGGUCCACUCCAGCGCGCGCGCCAUGUGUGCGCUGGAACCUGGCGCCUACGUUUUACUACCAACACCAUUGAAUGUUCAGAAUGCAUGAAUGGGACUUUGUUGCCCAUAAAACCUUAUA